CACGUAGGGUGCGAGCGUUGUCCGGAAUUAUUGGGCGUAAAGAGCUCGUAGGCGGUGUGUCGCGUCAGACGUGAAAUCCCUCGGCUUAACCGGGGAACUGCGUCUGAUACUGGAUGGCUUGAGUUCGGGAGAGGGAUGUGGAAUUCCAGGUGUAGCGGUGAAAUGCGUAGAUAUCAGGAGGAACACCGGUGGCGAAGGCGGGUCUCUGGGCCGAUACUGACGCUGAGGAGCGAAAGCGUGGGGAGCGAACAGG
rnacentral:rRNA from 1 species